AGUGAGAGUUCAUUUCCAUCGUGGCGAUUGCUGGAAGAAGACAACGAGACGUCGUCGAACACGGACGAGCGGGCCUUACUCUUCGCUGCCUGUGGAGUACGUGCGAUCUGCGAGCGUCACCUGGUGCCGGAUGAAAUCACAUGGAGGCCACAUCAAAUCACAUGGAGGCCAUACCAUAUCAAGCAAAUUGUUGAGUAUCGAAUGGCCAAGUAUCGAGUGAAAAUUGAACACUGACUCACUUCACCGGGAAUCGCUCUGAAAAUAAUUUAAAAAGUCCUUUCAACUACUGCUGCUCUGCACGCUGACUCACUUCACCAGGAAUCUUUCCAGAAACAUGUUACCAGUCCUUUCAACUACUGCUGCUCUGCACACUGA